GAUGAACGCUGGCGGCGUGCCUAAUACAUGCAAGUCGAACGCUGAAGGAAGGAGCUUGCUCUUUCCGGAUGAGUUGCGAACGGGUGAGUAACGCGUAGGUAACCUGCCUGGUAGCGGGGGAUAACUAUUGGAAACGAUAGCUAAUACCGCAUAACAGUAGAUGUUGCAUGAUAUCUACUUAAAAGGUGCAAUUGCACCACUACCAGAUGGACCUGCGUUGUAUUAGCUAGUUGGUGAGGUAACGGCUCACCAAGGCGACGAUACAUAGCCGACCUGAGAGGGGGAUCGGCCACACUGGGACUGAGACACGGCCCAGACUCCUACGGGAGGCAGCAGUAGGGAAUCUUCGGCAAUGGACGGAAGGCUGACCGAGCAACGCCGCGUGAGUGAAGAAGGUUUUCGGAUCGUAAAGCUCUGUUGUAAGAGAAGAACGAGUGUGAGAGUGGAAAGUUCACACUGUGACGGUAUCUUACCAGAAAGGGACGGCUAACUACGUG
rnacentral:rRNA from 1 species